GAGCAGACGGGGAGACAGAGAGAGACAGACAAACCCCAGUUGGUUGCCUCCUGCACACCCCCAACCCCCAGCUGGGCCUGCAACCCAGCUCUGUGCCCUCGGCUGCUGUUGAACCUGGGACACUUCAGUCCUGGGGCCGAAGCUCUAACCCCUGAGCGAACCCGGCUUGGGCCAUUCUUUAGGAGAGUAGUAAAAGGUGGUCCUCUCGGAGAAGGCGACAGCUCAGCGGAGCUACAGGACAGGAGCGGACGAAACAGCCACCAUUCCUGUAGGUAGCCGGAGGCAGCCAGACCGGCAUGUGCAAAGGUCCUGAGGCAGGACUAGCUUGGAACAUUCAAGGAAUGAGCAGAAGACCAGGAUGGCUGGAUCAUCGUGACCCAGGACCCAUGCCCGUGGCCCACUCAGAGGACGGCACCUGGACAUCAAGGUGGGCCGACCUGCGCCCUUUCAGAAAUGACGUAAUUUAGGGUGUCGUCGCUCAGUCUCCGCAGCUCCCUGGAAGUCGCUGGAGAUCCGGGAGUCUGGGAACUCAUCCUGCUUCGGAACCUGCCGCGGUUCUAGUGGAAAGAAACCCGAGUCUGAGGUUAACCACUACAGCCCCCUAACUUUACACGAGAUCGGACCUGCCAGAUGGAGACUCAUAGCUGUAUUUUCCAGAAAAGUCUCACCUAUGAGGCUUACGAUGUCCAGAAAUUCCUCCCAAUCCCCGCAGGAGGGCCGACCGCAGAGAAGCCUUGUUUUCUGCUGCUCGAGAAACUUCUCGACACUCUCCAAAGCGGCCGAAAAUAGGAAAGACACAGAAAACCCUCCCGCGGGCGUCCCGCCUGCCAAUCUCCCGCGCGGGUGGGCGCCCGCCUGCCUGCCCCAGACCGCGCCCGAGCUUCCCCGCGCACCUCCGUCUGCGUGUGACGUCGGUGGGGGGUGAACUGAGGCUCUGCUCCGGCAGAUCAAGGGCAGCAGACGCCCGAGCCGGGGCUGCUCUCUCAAUGGGAGCUUUGUUACCCCAGAAAUGAAUCUCCUGUUACACAACCCCGGGAACUGUUUGGAAAGCACCCUCCAGAAAAAAAAAAAAAUACCUCUAACCUUCACACACACACAGCUGAACCUUAAAACCCUGCAGCCUUGAGAUCAGCAUUCUUUCUCCCUGAUGCAGGUAGGAGGAUUCUUCACGAAUGAUUUCCAGUUUGAAGAGCCGGGAGGACACGUGUGGACCCGCUGACGAGGCAGCCACAGCACAGGCUACGUGGGCAGGUCUGGGUGGGGCGGGCGGCCAGCCGGGCCCCUCUCAGGACGCACAGCCUCACAUUGCCACCGCCCUUGUCCCCGGUCAUCGGCUAACACCUAAAUGCCCAACGUUACCUAAGCACCAGUCAUCAAGAAGAAAAAAAAAAAUCGUUUUCGUCACAGGCCCUGCUUUGGAGAGUGAGAGGAGCUAUGAAAACAGAGAGCAGUGGUUUAGAAAUUAUAGUUAAGGUUGAUAUAAAGGCGGAAGGUGCAGAAAGCUUGAUUAUUUCCGUUGAAGAUUCGGCUCCCUCAGUUUUGGGAUUUUUAAAAAUCUUUUGCUCGCCCGGCUGGGCGUGGCUCAGCGGUUGAGCGUCAACCUAGAAUC